UACGUAGGGGGCAAGCGUUGUCCGGAAUUAUUGGGCGUAAAGAGCUCGUAGGCGGUUUGUCGCGUCUGCUGUGAAAACUCGGGGCUUAACCCCGGGCCUGCAGUGGGUACGGGCAGACUAGAGUGCGGUAGGGGAGACUGGAAUUCCUGGUGUAGCGGUGAAAUGCGCAGAUAUCAGGAGGAACACCGGUGGCGAAGGCGGUUCUCUGGGCAUGUCCUGACGCUGAGGAGCGAAAGUGUGGGGAGCGAACAGG
rnacentral:rRNA from 1 species